rnacentral:rRNA from 1 species
UACGGAGGGUGCAAGCGUUGUCCGGAUUUAUUGGGCGUAAAGAGCUCGUAGGCGGUUUGUCGCGUCUGCUGUGAAAACCUAAGGCUCAACCUUGGGCUUGCAGUGGGUACGGGCAGACUAGAGUGCGGUAGGGGUGACUGGAAUUCCUGGUGUAGCGGUGGAAUGCGCAGAUAUCAGGAGGAACACCGAUGGCGAAGGCAGGUCACUGGGCCGCAACUGACGCUGAGGAGCGAAAGCACGGGGAGCGAACAGG